CAGCAGCCGCGGGAAUGCGAAGGGUGCAAGCGUUAAUCGGAAUUACUGGGCGUAAAGCGUGCGUAGGCGGUGAGUUAAGUCUGCUGUGAAAUCCCCGGGCUCAACCUGGGAAUGGCAGUGGAUACUGGCUCGCUAGAGUGUGUCAGAGGAUGGUGGAAUUCCCGGUGUAGCGGUGAAAUGCGUAGAGAUCGGGAGGAACAUCAGUGGCGAAGGCGGCCAUCUGGGACAACACUGACGCUGAGGCACGAAAGCGUGGGGAACAAACAGGAUUAGAUACCCCCGUAGUCCCUGUCUCUUAUAU
rnacentral:rRNA from 1 species